rnacentral:rRNA from 1 species
GACGAACGCUGGCGGCGUGCUUAACACAUGCAAGUCGAACGGAAAGGCCCUGCUUGCAGGGUACUCGAGUGGCGAACGGGUGAGUAACACGUGGGUGAUCUGCCCUGCACUUCGGGAUAAGCCUGGGAAACUGGGUCUAAUACCGGAUAGGAGCCAUUUUUAGUGUGAUGGUUGGAAAGUUUUUUCGGUGUAGGAUGAGCUCGCGGCCUAUCAGCUUGUUGGUGGGGUAAUGGCCUACCAAGGCGGCGACGGGUAGCCGGCCUGAGAGGGUGGACGGCCACAUUGAGACUGAGAUACGGCCCAGACUCCUACGGGAGGCAGCAGUGGGGAAUAUUGCACAAUGGGCGCAAGCCUGAUGCAGCGACGCCGCGUGGGGGAUGACGGCCUUCGGGUUGUGAACUCCUUUCGCUAGGGACGAAGCUUUUUGUGACGGUACCUAGAUAAGAAGCACCGGCUAACUACGUG